AAUAGUUUUAUAUCACAUCAGCAUUUUCAUCCUAAAUUUCAGCAUUUUCAUCCUGAAAUAAAUCAAAUCCAAACUAAAAUUUUGAAAUUGAGGAUAAAAUUGCUAAUGCGGCAUAAAACUAUU
rnacentral:pre_miRNA from 1 species